CUGGUGGCGAGUGGCGAACGGGUGAGUAAUGUAUCGGAACGUGCCUAGUAGCGGGGGAUAACUACGCGAAAGCGUAGCUAAUACCGCAUACGCCCUACGGGGGAAAGCAGGGGAUCGCAAGACCUUGCACUAUUAGAGCGGCCGAUAUCGGAUUAGCUAGUUGGUGGGGUAACGGCUCACCAAGGCGAAGAAAAGUAGCUGGUUUGAGAGGACGACCAGCCACACUGGGACUGAGACACGGCCCAGACUCCUACGGGAGGCAGCAGUGGGGAAUUUUGGACAAUGGGGGAAACCCUGAUCCAGCCAUCCCGCGUGUGCGAUGAAGGCCUUCGGGUUGUAAAGCACUUUUGGCAGGAAAGAAACGUCAUGGGCUAAUACCCCGUGAAGCUGACGGUACCUACAGAAUAAGCACCGGCUAACUAC
rnacentral:rRNA from 1 species